GACGAACGCUGGCGGCGUGCCUAAUACAUGCAAGUUGAGCGCUGAAGGUUGGUACUUGUACCAACUGGAUGAGCAGCGAACGGGUGAGUAACGCGUGGGGAAUCUGCCUUUGAGCGGGGGACAACAUUUGGAAACGAAUGCUAAUACCGCAUAAAAACUUUAAACACAAGUUUUAAGUUUGAAAGAUGCAAUUGCAUCACUCAAAGAUGAUCCCGCGUUGUAUUAGCUAGUUGGUGAGGUAAAGGCUCACCAAGGCGAGGAUACAUAGCCGACCUGAGAGGGUGAGCGGCCACAUUGGGACGGAGAUACGGCCCAAACGCCUACGGGAGGCAGCAGUAGGGAAUCUUCGGCAAGGGACGAAAGUCUGACCGAGCAACGCCGCGGGAGUGAAGAAGGGUUUCGGAUCGUAAAACUCGGUUGGUAGAGAAGAACGUUGGUGAGAGUGGAAAGCUCAUCAAGUGACGGUAACUACCCAGAAAGGGACGGCUAACUACGUG
rnacentral:rRNA from 1 species